CUUUGACGGGCAAAAGUUGUGAAGAAGCUUACAAGCUUUGUUCUGGCAGGUACACGGCACCGAUGAUCUUCGGAAAGCUGUUCAAAGAGCUAACAGUACGAAUAAAAGACGAGUUAUAAAAUGCAGAGAUACAAAAUCGAUAGUAAAAGGCUCUGCAAAUAAUGCACUCGACGAGAGCUCAGAUAAGUAAAUCAUCUUUUAAAAUGAGGAAUGGUCGACAUGUUGGGGUAAUGGAAAUGAGGAUUGGUAAUUUCAGUCAUCAUAUGCACUUUAAUUACUUCAGAGCAGGGAAUUUUAGUAAUUCACCUACAUAAUCAUACAGUCUGAAAAAAAAGACAAUUUCUUUUCCGCGUAUUACUGAACAAUUGAACUAUUUGCGUAAGACCAUGGUUACCUCUGAUGAAAGAUUCGUAUUGGUGCGGACUAUUGCAACAUUUGCGAUAUCACAAACUUCACUAAACAUUCGUGGUUGGCCAAUAUCAGAGAUUGCGAUGAUUUAAUCAAUAUUUUCAAAAAAUCGAGAUUAUCUAUGUGUAGUCUUAACGCAAAGCCAAAAGUGUCUUAGCUUAACUUUAUUUUUUUUAAUUCUUACAUUCAGAUCUACAUUCGGAUACUCGAGAGCAUGGUUUACUCAUAUUCUACUCCCAAUUUCAUGCAGUUGUGUUUGUAGAUAACUCUAAAUAGGUUCGCUGGUAAUUAUUGUGGCAGGUUCAGUUAUUAGGUGAAAAUAACAUAUUAAAACUUCCUAUAAAUGUGGCGGAGUUACAGCGGUGUCAGACACGUUCAGAACAUGCCGUAGAUUGGCUCAGCAGCAACAUUGAAAUUGCAUCAAACUUCAGUGCACGCCAAGCUCAACUGGAAUGAAUAAGUGUUA
rnacentral:lncRNA from 1 species